rnacentral:rRNA from 1 species
UGGGGAAUAUUGGACAAUGCGGGCAACCGUGAUCCAGCAAUGCCGCGUGAGUGAAGAAGGCCUUAGGGUUGUAAAGCUCUUUUACCAGGGAUGAUAAUGACAGUACCUGGAGAAUAAGCCCCGGCUAACUCCGUGCCAGCAGCCGCGGUAAUACGGAGGGGGCUAGCGUUGUUCGGAAUUACUGGGCGUAAAGCGCGCGUAGGCGGCUUUUCAAGUCAGUGGUGAAAUCCCGGGGCUUAACCCCGGAACUGCCUUUGAAACUGAAUGGCUAGAAUCUUGGAGAGGGGAGUGGAAUUUCGAGUGUAGAGGUGAAAUUCGUAGAUAUUCGGAAGAACACCAGUGGCGAAGGCGACUCACUGGCACGGUACUGACGCUGAGGUGCGAAAGCGUGGGGAGCAAACAGGAUUAGAUACCCGCGUAGUCC